rnacentral:rRNA from 1 species
UACAGAGGGUGCAAGCGUUAAUCGGAAUUACUGGGCGUAAAGAGUUCGUAGGUGGUUGCUUAAGUCUGAUGUUAAAUACCGAAGCUUAACUUCGGCAUGGCAUUGGAAACUGGGCGGCUGGAGUCCGUCAGAGGUAACUGGAAUUCCUGGUGUAGCGGUGAAAUGCGUAGAUAUCAGGAGGAACACCCGUGGCGAAAGCGAGUUACUGGGACGGUACUGACACUGAGGAACGAAAGCCUGGGGAGCGAAAGGG